GCUUAAAUAGUAUAGUGGUCAGUACGGCUCGUUGUGGAGGGUCCAAUAACUCAAUGCCGAGCAAUCCCAUAUUCGAAUCAUGGUUUAAGCA